rnacentral:rRNA from 1 species
AGGACGAACGCUGGCGGCGUGCCUAACACAUGCAAGUCGAACGGGGGUAGCAAUACCCCAGUGGCGAACGGGUGCGUAACACGUGAAGAACUUGUCCAUCGGCGGGGGAUAGCCGGCCCAACGGCCGGGUAAUACCGCGUACGCCGUCUGAAGCGCAUGCUUCGGCCGGGAAAGCAGCAAUGCACCGAUGGAGAGCUUCGCGGCCUAUCAGCUAGUUGGCGGGGUAAUGGCCCACCAAGGCAACGACGGGUAGCUGGUCUGAGAGGAUGACCAGCCACAUUGGGACUGAGACACGGCCCAGACUCCUACGGGAGGCAGCAGUGGGGAAUAUUGCACAAUGGGCGCAAGCCUGAUGCAGCGACGCCGCGUGAGGGAUGACGGCCUUCGGGUUGUAAACCUCUUUCAGUAUCGACGAAGCGCAAGUGACGGUAGGUACAGAAGAAGGACCGGCCAACUACGUGCCAGCAGCCGC